GACGAACGCUGGCGGCGUGCCUAACACAUGCAAGUCGAGCGAGUGAAUCUCCUUCGGGAGUGAAGCUAGCGGCGGACGGGUGAGUAACACGUGGGCAACCUGCCUCAUAGAGGGGAAUAGCCUUUCGAAAGGAAGAUUAAUACCGCAUAAGAUUGUAGCUUCGCAUGAAGUAGCAAUUAAAGGAGCAAUCCGCUAUGAGAUGGGCCCGCGGCGCAUUAGCUAGUUGGUGAGGUAACGGCUCACCAAGGCGACGAUGCGUAGCCGACCUGAGAGGGUGAUCGGCCACAGUGGGACUGAGACACGGCCCAGACUCCUACGGGAGGCAGCAGUGGGGAAGAUUGCACAAGGGGGGAAACCCUGAUGCAGCAACGCCGCGUGAGUGAUGACGGCCUUCGGGUUGUAAAGCUCUGUCGUCAGGGACGAUAAUGACGGUACCUGAGGAGGAAGCCACGGCUAACUACGUGCCAGCCGCCGCCGUAA
rnacentral:rRNA from 1 species